GGAAUGCUACUGAACUACACUUCUGACAUCUAUAUAAAAUUUUGGCAGCAUCUCCUUUGCAAAAUUGCAUAAAUGGGGGGGGGGAAGACAACAGUGUAUAAACAUAUAUCAUGACAAAAACAUACCAAGGAUUAUUAAUCGGCUAGCAAAGGGAAGUUAAACAUACGACAUGAACUGAAUUAACCAGUGCGCACGACUAGCAAAAAAAAUAAACUUCUUUUGACAACAAGUUUCUAAUUAAAUCAUGGCUACGCCUGGGCAUGAGAGUGAAAGUGGACGUGCUGCUACUCCCCUCAUUCCCAACAUGUAUCAAGUACCUGCAUUGAGUAAUGCAAGAGUGAGAUGACACAUCUCAGCAAGUAAAAUAAUAUCAAACUGUUUAACCACAUAAGAAUAUUGUUUUACCACCACUUGAUUUCACAACCUUCUUAUUACAAAGGUGCAGCACGUAUACCACGUACAACACUCCUAGCUACCACACCUCGCAGGUAGAAACCACAAUAGUAACAUAGUAAUGUCACUCUUCAUAUAUAUACCUCAUGAGUGCAAAUGUCUGCAAAUGCAAGGAUGACUUCUGCCUUCAUACCUCUAAGGAUAUGAAGCCGCAUCGUACCCCUCCUCGGGCAACGUACGAUGCUAAAAAAUGUACCGGUACGGUCGGACCAUAAGAUCACGACAUAACUUCAAAAUGCAAGAUGGAUGAUGCGAUGAGCAUGUCAUGCCUACAACACUUCAUAUAACGUGAUUCAAAAAAAAUACUUCAACUUCAUCCAAGAUGUGAAUCAACCACAUAUAUCAUUACCAAAUUAUGAUCAUCCACAAUAUUAGACAAUUGAGAAUUAAUACUUCCAAACAAAUAAACUUCUUCAUAGAAUUCAAUGAUUAACAUAAUUAAAACUUAUGCAUACUCAAUGUCAGGGAAUAGGAUGCAACCCAAACGGUAGCAACCACCACUGUAUUUACUUGCCUUUACCGGAAGUUUGGGCAGAUCCCUAAGUACGAUCCGGAAGUCCACCACCUGUUUUUGACACACAACUUAGUGCACCAAUUUCACAUAACCCGGCUCAUAAACGACGCCGCACCUACGCACAAACUCAAACCCCGCCGCGGGUUACAUCUCUCCCCACACCCACCAAACUGCAGCGGCGCUGCUUAAUAAUUUCAUAACUUCAAAAUUAUGACAGCAUUGGUAACAACCAAAAACUCCAGAGGCAUCUACAUAAAAUUUCCCACAAGUUUUGUAUACAAUUUAUAAUUAAAUUCCAACAUCUAAUUAGCCCAAAACAGUUCACAAGAUGAACCCUGUAAUCUAUUUUUUUCUCUUUUGGACAGCGACAUACCCGGAUUCAAACAGCGAUAUCUUUUAAAAUAUAAUUCCAAUUCAAGCGCAUAAGUACUCAUUGGAAAGAUAAGACAAAGCCAUACAUGAUUAUCAUACUGGUUAGCACUAAUUAACCACGAAAAAUUCCCAGAAAUUGCUAAUACUACUGCUGUUCACCCACCUGAAAAAUCUGUUUGUUUGGACAGCAACAUACCCGGAUUCAAACAGCGAUAUCUUUUAAAAUAUAAUUCCAAAUCAAGCACAUAAGUACUCAUUGGAAAGAUAAGACAAAGCCCUACAUGAUUAUAAUACUGGUUAAUACUAAUUACCCACGAAAAAUUCCCAGAAACUGCUAAUACUACUGCUGUUCACCCACCUGAAAAAUCUGUUUGUUUGGACAGCAACAUACCCGGAUUCAAACAGCGAUAUCUUUUAAAAUAUAAUUCCAAAUCAAGCACAUAAGUACUCAUUGGAAAGAUAAAACAAAGCCCUACAUGAUUAUAAUACUGGUUAAUACUAAUUACCCACGAAAAAUUCCCAGAAACUGCUAAUACUACUGCUGUUCACCCACCUGAAAAAUCUGUUUGUUUGGACAGCAACAUACCCGGAUUCAAACAGCGAUAUCUUUUAAAAUAUAAUUCCAAAUCAAGCACAUAAGUACUCAUUGGAAAGAUAAGACAAAGCCCUACAUGAUUAUAAUACUGGUUAAUACUAAUUACCCACGAAAAAUUCCCAGAAACUGCUAAUACUACUGCUGUUCAUCCACCUCAAAAAUCUGUUUUUUUGGACAGCAACAUACCCGGAUUCAAACAACGAUAUCUCCUAAAUUAUAACUCCGAAUCGAGCGCAUAAGUACUCGUUGGAAAGGUAUGACAAAGCUCUACAUGAUUAUCCCACUGAUUCCCACUAAUUACCCCACGAAAAUUCCCAGAAAUCCCUAGAACUACUGCUGUUCACCCACUCACAAAAUUCCUGGACAGCACCUCUACCGAUUCGCAAAGAUAAACACAUAAUCCAAUUGAUUGCAGCACAAAAACAACAAAAGUUAAUCACAAAUUCACCUUAGGUUCUUCCCUUCCUCCUUCCUUCUUCCUCCCUCCAAACUCCAAUUGAGAUCGCAGCCACACGACGGAGAACCACACGGGAGGGCUGCACCUUGGAGGAGGGGGAGAAAUGGGGGGGCUAGGGUUUUGGGUGGUGAGGGCUGCAAAGAUUUGAGGAGGAAGAAGAUGGGAGAGGGGGGGGCGUCCAAGAGAAAGGGGAGGGGAGGGGGGCGGCUGCAACAACCCAAGGGGGAAAAAGGGGGGGGGGCGGCUAGGGUUAGGGGAGGGUUAGUGGGCCGGAUUGCGAUUCGCGGCCCAACUCGCUUGCACGACAGCUACCGACCAACCACUCUACUGCUAUACUGGUGAAUGUUUUCCAUAAAUUCUAAAUCCCCAAAGCGCGACACCCGAAUAAUAGAAAAAACAAACAAAAAGAAUAACCUUCAACUUCUCUUCUUUGCAAACCGGGUAUCACACUCUACCCCCCUUAAAAAGAAUUCGACCUCGAAUUCCGACGCUUCUAUCGGAACGACAAGGAAAGAUCAGCGACAACAAAAACUCACCCCAUAACGAAAAGUUCGGGGUACUUCUGCCGCAUCAGCUCCUCGAGCUUCAAGGAUUCUAGGAUACGCAGCAAACGACACUCUAGAGUCAGGUCUUGCUACAUGGGAAUCGACUCUAGCUCGAUUAUUGAUAUGGAUUCCGCAAAUACUUUCUCAACAUAGAGACAUGGAAUACAUGGCGUACUCUGAUCAUAGUCUCCGACAAUUGCAUGUGCUAAGCCAAGCUGCCAACUCGGGCUAAGAUAAUAGACAGUCCUAUAUAACCCGGACAAAGUUUUCCUGACACCAAAUCAACAUUGACACAUGCAAGUACUUCAAUGAAUAUAUAUAAUGAAAGCAAUACAUACUGUGCUCCAAUAUCCUAAACCAAACCUAUCCAAACAAGAGUAACUUCAAAAGAUCAAUUUAAUGCUUGCAUAUUUCUAGACAUCAGCAGAACGGUUAAUUGUUUUGCUCAUAAACUCACAAAGUAUGCAUCCAACAGUAGUAAACUAGGACUUUAUGAAAAGCUUACAAAGUCCACUAUACCCUUGGUAUUAUCAUCACCACAAGAUUUGACACUUAGAAAGGACAAACAAUGCGAAACGUAAAUUUUGUCCAGACUUGGACAGAAUUCAACUACUCACUUAAAAAAAACCAUAAUUGGAGUCUCAGUCAUCCAAUUUAGGCGCUCCUAGACUUUUUUCAAAGCCAGUAAAAUUGUCUAUAUUUCAUUUAUAAACAUAUCAGGUUAAUUCAAUGCAUAUCAAGGUCAAAAGACAUAAGAAAGGCUGUGCUGUCCAAAUUUGGACAGAUUCAAAGAUUCCACUUAAAACAGCUGUAGCUUAACUUAUAGGUCACCAAAAAGGGUGAUCCAAUAUUUGUUGGAAAUCUUAAGGAAAGUACUCCACUUCUUUAUAAUUUAUAAGAACUGAUUCAAAGUUUAACUUGGGCAAACAAGGUCAGUUUCAAAAUCUGUACAGAAUCUGGACAGAUUCCAAGACUAGACUUGAGAAAAUCAUAACUCCCAAACUACUAGACCUAUGGUCAUGAAAUUUUACACAAGUAAGAUGAAGAAGUUGGCUACAACUUUUAUAUACAACACCUCUACAGAAAACAUGGUUUAAUUCAUUGAACUAGCUGCAUAACCAAAACUGGUCAUGUAGUCCCAAACAGCAAGCAAUAGAUUUAUUCAGGUUCUAUACUCUUCUAAGAUUAAGCGUUCAUCGAAGGACUAAUAACUUUAGGUUCUUCAUUACGAGACACUCAGAGCCAACAUAAAGAUAGAAGCCAUAUGCUAACUUUUUUAAAUCAUUUUAAGCCUUAUCUCACAUCAUGGAAGCAAGAAUCGAUUUAAGCAUACUACGCCUGCCCAUAUAUCCAUCCAAGCAUAUUCUAUACAUUAUAUCAUUCCAUCGAAGAACACUUUUUUUAAUUAUACUAUGCAUAUAUAUCCAUCCAAUAACUCACCCAAUCUGCAUCUAACAAAAUUUUGCAAAUACAAACUCAUUGGAAAGGUUAUAACAUUUCCUAAAACUUUUAUUAUAAUGAGUGUCUCAGAAUUGGUUUCCAAACCGAUAAAACAAUGCAACUGCUUUGUUGCAAAAACUGAUAGGAUAGAAAUAUUGGACAACUAAAAUUCAAAAUCCUAUAACUCCUGCUAUACUCAACUUAAAACUACAACGAACAUGCGUUGGAAAAGUUUGGAAAUUGUCCACGACUUUUGCAAUAAAGUUGCACCCAAAUUUAUCUUUAUAACCCUCAACUCUGCAUGACCUACAGCUAAACUCAACCUGAGAUACUGCACAUCAGAGAUUCGACUUAUAUCCGGACAACCACCUCUCCCAAUCUAUUUAAUAGGCAAUUACAAGUAAAUACCCAUUAAAAGGUACUUAGAAAAACUAAAAGUUUUUCUUAAAGAGAAUUCCCAAAUUUGGGCUCUGAAACUAUCAGAACACGGUCGAUUUAUUGGUGGUUUUAACGACACCUAAAGUUCAGACACAACGGUGUAACAACUUCAGAGUAGCCUAACUCCAAUUAUAUGCAAUGAAAAUUACAAAUCAAUAAUCUUUGGAAAGAUCAUGAAAUUACUAAAACUUUCAUAAUCCAACAAAAACCAAAAUUUACCGUCUUCAAUGUCUAUACUUCCGUACAAAAUUAAGGCUGCUAUAGGAAACCCAUAACUCUCCAAUGUUUAGACCAAACUGGGUGAUUGAGCAACCUAUGCAAAGAUGAAGAAGCCUACUACAAAACAUUCUAGAUAAGUGAAGCCUGAUUCAGCCUCCAACUAAUUUAAAAUGACUCCCAAAACCAAACAACACCUUACCCAUAAUAAAAAAACAAUAUAAAAUAAAACCCAAGGCAUUGGCAGGUGCGAUCAACACUAGGAUUUUCCACUACCAAAUGGGGAUGCAACUCCCCAAAGCCGUUAAGCAACACUUUACCUAAUAGGUUAGAACACUAAGCACAACAAUCAACGAAUUAAACAACCUCGUUUGUUAAUGCCACUAAGGUCAAACAUCCAUGUAUCGACAAUGUAUGAAACACCUGACAUACCCGUCUCUAGCACUAUAAGACAUGGUUGUUAUUACACUAGAAUCCAACUAUUAGAGCUCUCCACAACUAUUCUGUUGACGUGAAGCAAAUGGUGCUCAUGUCAUGUAACGUCUUUUCCUCCUCUCAAAAGAGAUAAAAUUUGCAAUACUCAUAAAGCAAUGGAGGGAUAACAAAAAGAAAAACUAAUGUACUUCUUGACACAGACUCAUGCAAAAGCUUCAUAAAUAUUACUUUCAAUACUAAAAUAGCCACACGAUACUAUGCUCAUCAGGAGUAAUUGGAUGUCAAUAAGACAAUCCACAUAACCAAACUACCUUGAUUAACCUCACAUACAACAAAACCUACUAUUACUGCACUUGAACAAUUUGUACCUCGUGAUAUCACAGGAUGCAUUCAAAGUAGUAGACAUACAUGAUCUAUCAAACCAUCAUUCAUAUAAGAAAAAUCUCAAUCCGAUGCAACAACCCCAUCAUUAAAGAGAUAGAUGACUAACAAACAUAAGCAACUCCCAGUUAAGCAUUGACUUCGUUUAAGAUAAAGCGGUCCAAAUAAUGAUUCAACAAGCAUGCAUAGAGAAACUGAUCAUAAAAAAAAAAUCAAACUACCAUACAAUGUUGGCAAAUAAAAAAAAUAAAAUGGGUUGUCAAUAUCGUCCACAUGACUAGCCUGCAACAACUAAAAAUUAUGCAUAGCCUUUAUAGCUAUUGAAACAAACCAUAGAAGGAAAACAUGCACGACAUAAAAUCCACUUGAAACCACCCUAUUUAUUGUUGAAAAAAAUAAGGUUGCACAUAAUAAGAAAACCUAUCAGGUAAACAUGGUUGGACUUAUCAAUCUACGUCAUCUUACAAAUUCACUUGAGUUCUACCAGUCUCAAGAUUUCAUAGACAUUACAAUGUUGCCUUUGCUCUAUAGAGACAAACCAAUUUUAUACUAAGAUCAAGUUAGCAAGUAGCCACACUAGCCAAAAAAGUGAGGCGCAAAGCAUUGCAUCCAUGGAAAUAUUACAUUGAUAAGUUGGGUUGUAACCCAACAGUCAAUCAAACUCAACAACACCAUAAAACUACAUUAUAUAGUGUUUUCACACUACACCAAGUCGGAUUAGACCCACUAUAGACAAGCUCAAUAAACAAUCGGUCCUACAAGUACUAGAACCCAAGAAUCCUUUUGGAAAAAAACAUCCACAGUCAAGCAUAUAGAAAUAUAUGAUAGUAAUAGCUCAGAGAUUUGAAAACAUUGCAUCAAAAAAAACAUCAUGACAAUAUGUAUAUAAAACAAGUACAGUAGUAGCUUCACUUGCAUAAUAUCUUCAAUAACAACCACAUCAAGAAACCAAUAUUAAAUAGAAAUAACAUAUCAUAUCCAGCAUUACGUCAUUAAUGACGUACCCCAUCAAACCAUAAAGGAAUUUGGAGUAAGGAAGUUCUAGUCAUCUAUACAAUAAAGUACUAAUAUGAAAGAUAUACGAACCCAUACCCUUCCUAUAUGUGCAAGUGUGUCAAAUUUAUCUUCAAAUUGCGUAGAAUCUAAAGCCUAUCCUCUGAUACCAACUGUAACACCCCGGAGUCCAAAAACACCCCGGAAUGCUACUGAACUACACUUCUGACAUCUAUAUAAAAUUUUGGCAGCAUCUCCUUUGCAAAAUUGCAUAAAUGGGGGGGGGGAAGACAACAGUGUAUAAACAUAUAUCAUGACAAAAACAUACCAAGGAUUAUUAAUCGGCUAGCAAAGGGAAGUUAAACAUACGACAUGAACUGAAUUAACCAGUGCGCACGACUAGCAAAAAAAAUAAACUUCUUUUGACAACAAGUUUCUAAUUAAAUCAUGGCUACGCCUGGGCAUGAGAGUGAAAGUGGACGUGCUGCUACUCCCCUCAUUCCCAACAUGUAUCAAGUACCUGCAUUGAGUAAUGCAAGAGUGAGAUGACACAUCUCAGCAAGUAAAAUAAUAUCAAACUGUUUAACCACAUAAGAAUAUUGUUUUACCACCACUUGAUUUCACAACCUUCUUAUUACAAAGGUGCAGCACGUAUACCACGUACAACACUCCUAGCUACCACACCUCGCAGGUAGAAACCACAAUAGUAACAUAGUAAUGUCACUCUUCAUAUAUAUACCUCAUGAGUGCAAAUGUCUGCAAAUGCAAGGAUGACUUCUGCCUUCAUACCUCUAAGGAUAUGAAGCCGCAUCGUACCCCUCCUCGGGCAACGUACGAUGCUAAAAAAUGUACCGGUACGGUCGGACCAUAAGAUCACGACAUAACUUCAAAAUGCAAGAUGGAUGAUGCGAUGAGCAUGUCAUGCCUACAACACUUCAUAUAACGUGAUUCAAAAAAAAUACUUCAACUUCAUCCAAGAUGUGAAUCAACCACAUAUAUCAUUACCAAAUUAUGAUCAUCCACAAUAUUAGACAAUUGAGAAUUAAUACUUCCAAACAAAUAAACUUCUUCAUAGAAUUCAAUGAUUAACAUAAUUAAAACUUAUGCAUACUCAAUGUCAGGGAAUAGGAUGCAACCCAAACGGUAGCAACCACCACUGUAUUUACUUGCCUUUACCGGAAGUUUGGGCAGAUCCCUAAGUACGAUCCGGAAGUCCACCACCUGUUUUUGACACACAACUUAGUGCACCAAUUUCACAUAACCCGGCUCAUAAACGACGCCGCACCUACGCACAAACUCAAACCCCGCCGCGGGUUACAUCUCUCCCCACACCCACCAAACUGCAGCGGCGCUGCUUAAUAAUUUCAUAACUUCAAAAUUAUGACAGCAUUGGUAACAACCAAAAACUCCAGAGGCAUCUACAUAAAAUUUCCCACAAGUUUUGUAUACAAUUUAUAAUUAAAUUCCAACAUCUAAUUAGCCCAAAACAGUUCACAAGAUGAACCCUGUAAUCUGUUUUUUUCUCUUUUGGACAGCGACAUACCCGGAUUCAAACAGCGAUAUCUUUUAAAAUAUAAUUCCAAUUCAAGCGCAUAAGUACUCAUUGGAAAGAUAAGACAAAGCCAUACAUGAUUAUCAUACUGGUUAGCACUAAUUAACCACGAAAAAUUCCCAGAAAUUGCUAAUACUACUGCUGUUCACCCACCUGAAAAAUCUGUUUGUUUGGACAGCAACAUACCCGGAUUCAAACAGCGAUAUCUUUUAAAAUAUAAUUCCAAAUCAAGCACAUAAGUACUCAUUGGAAAGAUAAGACAAAGCCCUACAUGAUUAUAAUACUGGUUAAUACUAAUUACCCACGAAAAAUUCCCAGAAACUGCUAAUACUACUGCUGUUCACCCACCUGAAAAAUCUGUUUGUUUGGACAGCAACAUACCCGGAUUCAAACAGCGAUAUCUUUUAAAAUAUAAUUCCAAAUCAAGCACAUAAGUACUCAUUGGAAAGAUAAAACAAAGCCCUACAUGAUUAUAAUACUGGUUAAUACUAAUUACCCACGAAAAAUUCCCAGAAACUGCUAAUACUACUGCUGUUCACCCACCUGAAAAAUCUGUUUGUUUGGACAGCAACAUACCCGGAUUCAAACAGCGAUAUCUUUUAAAAUAUAAUUCCAAAUCAAGCACAUAAGUACUCAUUGGAAAGAUAAGACAAAGCCCUACAUGAUUAUAAUACUGGUUAAUACUAAUUACCCACGAAAAAUUCCCAGAAACUGCUAAUACUACUGCUGUUCAUCCACCUCAAAAAUCUGUUUUUUUGGACAGCAACAUACCCGGAUUCAAACAACGAUAUCUCCUAAAUUAUAACUCCGAAUCGAGCGCAUAAGUACUCGUUGGAAAGGUAUGACAAAGCUCUACAUGAUUAUCCCACUGAUUCCCACUAAUUACCCCACGAAAAUUCCCAGAAAUCCCUAGAACUACUGCUGUUCACCCACUCACAAAAUUCCUGGACAGCACCUCUACCGAUUCGCAAAGAUAAACACAUAAUCCAAUUGAUUGCAGCACAAAAACAACAAAAGUUAAUCACAAAUUCACCUUAGGUUCUUCCCUUCCUCCUUCCUUCUUCCUCCCUCCAAACUCCAAUUGAGAUCGCAGCCACACGACGGAGAACCACACGGGAGGGCUGCACCUUGGAGGAGGGGGAGAAAUGGGGGGGCUAGGGUUUUGGGUGGUGAGGGCUGCAAAGAUUUGAGGAGGAAGAAGAUGGGAGAGGGGGG
rnacentral:lncRNA from 1 species